rnacentral:rRNA from 1 species
GUGUCAGCCGCCGCGGUAAUACGUAGGGGGCAAGCGUUGUUCGGAAUUACUGGGCGUAAAGGGCGCGUAGGCGGCACGGCAAGUCGGGAGUGAAAGCCCGGGGCUCAACCCCGGAGGGUCUCUCGAAACUGCCGAGCUAGAGUGCGGAAGAGGCAAUCGGAAUUCCCAGUGUAGCGGUGAAAUGCGUAGAUAUUGGGAAGAACACCGGAGGCGAAGGCGGAUUGCUGGGCCGACACUGACGCUGAGGCGCGAAAGCCAGGGGAGCAAACGGGAUUAGAUACCCCCGUAGUCC